AGCUCCAGUAGCGUAUAUUAAAGUUGUUGCAGUUAAAAAGCUCGUAGUUGGAUUUCUGGUACGCUGCGCCUGGCCCGCCUCGGUUACGAGUGUGUGUGCUGGUGUGCGGUUGCCAUCCUUCUAGAAUACGUAGCUGCCCUUCACUGGGAUGGUUGCGGAGUCUAGAUCUUUUACUUUGAAAAAAUUAGAGUGUUUAAAGCAGGCUUGUGCUGUGAAUACAUUAGCAUGGAAUAAUAAUUUAGGACUUUGGUCUUAUUUUGUUGGUUAUAGGGCUGAAGUAAUGAUUGAUAGGGAUAGUUGGGGGUGCUAGUAUUGAACGGCCAGAGGUGAAAUUCUUGGAUUCGUUCAAGACUAACUUAUGCGAAAGCAUUCACCAAGGAUGUCUUCUUUAAUCAAGAAC
rnacentral:rRNA from 1 species